AGUUCUAGCCAUUUUGAAAGGCCGAAUGCUAGAAAAAUUAAGAAAUUGCUACUAGCUAUAAAUCUAGCUACUUUAAAAUAAACUUCAGCUAUUUUCGGCAAUUUUCUCGAACCCGUGAUUUAGGUCUGUGAAAAUUACCAGUUACAGCGAAAAUACUCUAAGUGACUUGAGUGAAAAUACUUAUCGAACAGUGAUUUCUACUUUUGACCAUCACUGCUUUGUGUGUUUCAUCUCUAGUUUGUGGUGUACAUUAAGUGACGCAAAAAAAGUGAUGCAAAAAUGCCUAAAGUGCUUUAUACGCAAAAGUUUCGCGAUGCUUGGAUGCAGGCUAGUGAGUUCAAGGCCUGGAUCCGGAAGGAUGAGACGGAUUUGUCAAAAGCGUGUGUUCUGUCAAAUGAACAUAGUAAAAAGUAACCUCAGAAACAGGAUACAUAUAAAAACACUAAAUUCAAUUUUAAAAAUAAGAUACAGCCUGCGCAGAAAUGGAAAAUGCUGCCACGAUUAUGAAGUGCCAACGAAAUUUUUAAAAAUGAUGGCCGAAAAUGAAAAAUAUAACAAUGAAAACAGUGAAGAUGUAGAUUUAAUAAAAUCAUUAUUGGACAUUUAAA